AGUGAACGCUGGCGGCAGGCCUAACACAUGCAAGUCGAGCGGCAGCGCGUCCGACCACCCUCGGGUGGUCGGAUGGCGGCGAGCGGCGGACGGGUGAGGAGUGCAUCGGAAUCUGCCUCGUUGUGGGGGAUAACGUAGGGAAACUUACGCUAAUACCGCAUACGACCUACGGGUGAAAGUGGGGGACCUUCGGGCCUCACGCGAUGAGAUGAGCCGAUGCCGGAUUAGCUAGUUGGCGGGGUAAAGGCCCACCAAGGCGACGAUCCGUAGCUGGUCUGAGAGGAUGAUCAGCCACACUGGAACUGAGACACGGUCCAGACUCCUACGGGAGGCAGCAGUGGGGAAUAUUGGACAAUGGGGGCAACCCUGAUCCAGCCAUGCCGCGUGUGUGAAGAAGGCCUGG
rnacentral:rRNA from 1 species